UACGUAGGGGGCAAGCGUUGUCCGGAAUCAUUGGGCGUAAAGAGCGUGUAGGCGGUCCGAUAAGUCCGCUGUGAAAGUCGAGGGCUCAACCCUCGAAUGCCGGUGGAUACUGUCGGGCUUGAGUACGGGAGAGGCGAGUGGAAUUCCUGGUGUAGCGGUGAAAUGCGCAGAUAUCAGGAGGAACACCGAUUGCGAAGGCAGCUCGCUGGAACGUUACUGACGCUGAGACGCGAAAGCGUGGGGAGCAAACAGG
rnacentral:rRNA from 1 species